GGGCCCGUAGCUUAGCACGGUAGAGGAAAGCCGAAAGCGCUCGGCUCUUAACCGAGUGGUCGCGGGUUCAAAUCCCGCCGGGCCCG
rnacentral:tRNA from 1 species